rnacentral:rRNA from 1 species
UACGUAGGGUGCAAGCGUUGUCCGGAAUUAUUGGGCGUAAAGAGCUCGUAGGCGGUUUUGUCGCGUCUGCUGUGAAAACCCGAGGCUCAACCUCGGGCCUGCAGUGGGUACGGGCAGACUAGAGUGCGGUAGGGGAGAUUGGAAUUCCUGGUGUAGCGGUGGAAUGCGCAGAUAUCAGGAGGAACACCAAUGGCGAAGGCAGCUCGCUGGGGACGGUACUGACGCUGAGGAGCGAAAGCAUGGGUAGCGAACAGG